rnacentral:rRNA from 1 species
UAGGGAAUCUUCCACAAUGGACGCAAGUCUGAUGGAGCACCGCCGCGUGAGUGAAGAAGGUUUUCGGAUCGUAAAGCUCUGUUGUUGGUGAAGAAGGAUAGAGGCAGUAACUGGUCUUUAUUUGACGGUAAUCAACCAGAAAGUCACGGCUAACUACGUGCCAGCAGCCGCGGUAAUACGUAGGUGGCAAGCGUUGUCCGGAUUUAUUGGGCGUAAAGCGAGCGCAGGCAGAAUGAUAAGUCUGAUGUGAAAGCCCACGGCUCAACCGUGGAACUGCAGCGGAAACUGUCAUUCUUGAGUGCAGAAGAGGAGGGUGGAAUUCCAUGUGUAGCGGUGGAAUGCGUAGAUAUAUGGAAGAACACCAGUGGCGAAGGCGGCUCUCUGGUCUGCAACUGACGCUGAGGCUCGAAAGCAUGGGUAGCGAACAGG